CCAGCAUCCAAAGCUAGCUUUCUCUGCAUAUAACAAAAAAAGACAUGAAUAAUUAAGACCCACAUGUCAAACUUCCAUCCUAAAAGCUGCCCUUCACCAGACUCAAACCCACAUGCAUGAAUACGCAAAAACAAGUAUAUAAUAUAUGUUGUCCAAAAUGAAGUUCCCGAGUCAUUUCAACUAUAUCAAAAUCUGAAUAAAUAUUUCAUGUCAUAAUUGGUGCAUAUGAUCAACCCAGUUUUAAUCAAACACUAACAAAGUCACUGACGCUACAAAUGUGUCGAUUUCCAAUAUACCAAUUUUAUAAACCAGAAAGAUAACACCAUGAUCAAAACAACUGAAUUCAUUUUAAAAAAAUAAGAAAAUGGGAUACGAAUACGAUGAAUGGAAAAUCAACACUGUCUCCUUUAGAAAAUAAAAAUCAGAUCGGACAGGUAAAAUAGGCGCCGAGCUUUGAAUCAUCACAGCUCAGCGAUACGACGACGCUUUUGAAGCAGAGGUCGACAGAGAAGGUCACUGCUAAAAGAACAACGAACAGGAAAUGAAACUCAUAAUCAAUGAGAAAAAGUACACUACACUACACAUAUGAAUAAUCUAAAGCCAAACACAAAAAGUCAAAAUCAGUGAAAGAAACGGCACCGUGUGAAGCCUCCGAGGACUAACUGGUACUGGGAAUUUGAUUACAAGAAGCUGGAAGCAACAAAUUUCAGCAGAGACCGUCGAGAAUUUCACCAAAACAAAAAGAAGCAAAGAAAAAAAUCGAAACGAUGGCGUCUAGAAUCGUCUCUCACUCUCCUCCGUCUAUUCCAAACACACGCAACAUUGACUCAAAUGCAAUGCAAACUACUCUGUUUCAAGGAAAAGAAAAAACCACCAACAAAACGACAACGUUUGCAACCCUUGCUUCAUCGUCCCAAAAAGAAAAGAAGGUAAGAGAAAGAGAGAGAAGAUAGAUUACUGGAAUCUGACGAGAAACUGUAGAGAAAGAGGGGAAGGAAGGAAAGAGAAGAAGGUGAAUUUAAGAAAAGAGAAUAUGGGAAUUGCCUGAAUGUGGCGUUUUUUUUUUUUUAAGUGGCGUUUUUUUUAGGUGACGUUUUGGUUGUGGUUGAAUUGAAAAGUUCCACACAAAAUGUUUUAAGGUCUAAACAAACCUAGAAAUUCGAGAGAGAAGAGAG
rnacentral:misc_RNA from 1 species